UAUUGGACAACGGGCGAAAGCCUGAUCCAGCAAUGCUGCGUGAGUGAUGAAGGCCUUAGGGUUGUAAAGCUCUUUUACCCGGGAUGAUAAUGACAGUACCGGGAGAAUAAGCUCCGGCUAACUCCGUGCCAGCAGCCGCGGUAAUACGGAGGGAGCUAGCGUUGUUCGGAAUUACUGGGCGUAAAGCGCACGUAGGCGGCUUUGUAAGUUAGAGGUGGAAGCCUGGAGCUCAACUCCAGAAUUGCCUUUGAUACUGCAUCGCUUGAAUCCAGGAGAGGUGAGUGGAGUUCCGAGUGUAGAGGUGAAAUUCGUAGAUAUUCGGAAGAACACCAGUGGCGAAGGCGGCUCACUGGACUGGUAUUGACGCUGAGGUGCGAAG
rnacentral:rRNA from 1 species